rnacentral:rRNA from 1 species
AUUGAACGCUGGCGGCAGGCUUAACACAUGCAAGUCGAGCGGAGAUGAGGUGCUUGCACCUUAUCUUAGCGGCGGACGGGUGAGUAAUGCUUAGGAAUCUGCCUAUUAGUGGGGGACAACAUUCCGAAAGGAAUGCUAAUACCGCAUACGUCCUACGGGAGGAAGCAGGGGAUCUUCGGACCUUGCGCUAAUAGAUGAGCCUAAGUCGGAUUAGCUAGUUGGUGGGGUAAAGGCCUACCAAGGCUACGAUCUGUAGCGGGUCUGAGAGGAUGAUCCGCCAAACUGGGACUGAGACACGGCCCAGACUCCUACGGGAGGCAGCAGUGGGGAAUAUUGGACAAUGGGGGGAACCCUGAUCCAGCCAUGCCGCGUGUGUGAAGAAGGCCUUAUGGUUGUAAAGCACUUUAAGCGAGGAGGAGGCUACUGAGACUAAUACUCUUGGAUAGUGGACGUUACUCGCAGAAUAAGCACCGGCUAACUCUGUGCCAGCCGCCGCGGUAAGAC